UACGUAGGGGUGCAAGCGUUAAUCGGAAUUACUGGGCGUAAAGCGUGCGCAGGCGGCUUUGCAAGACAGAUGUGAAAUCCCCGGGCUUAACCUGGGAACUGCAUUUGUGACUGCAGGGCUGGAGUGCGGCAGAGGGGGGUGGAAUUCCCGGUGUAGUGGUGAAAUGCGUAGAGAUCGGGAGGAACACCUGUGGCGAAGGCGGACCCCCUGGGCCGGCCCUGACACUGAGACGCGAAGGCGCUGGGGAGCGAACGGGG
rnacentral:rRNA from 1 species